AAGAGGAGGAAAAUCCAUUUGCUUCAAAGAAAAGGAAGGGAACAUCUAAGGUAUGGGCUGAGUUUAAAGAAGUUACUCUUCCCGAUGGAACAGUGAAAGUAAAGUGCAUUCACUGCAAACACCAACUGGGAGUUGAUAAUAUUGGUGCCACAACACACUUUCUUAGACAUUUAAAGAUUUGUCCAAAAAUGAAAAGUGAAUUUGAAAGGUCAUUAACAACUUAGUAUCACUACAACACUAGCUGAUAUAGAAAGUGUGACUUCUGUUUAUAAUUUUAAAUAUGACCAUGCCAAG
rnacentral:misc_RNA from 1 species